GGGUGGGGGGUGGCUGGAGUUGAGGGGGGAGGUGUGGGGAGGACUUGGAGGGGGGCCACCUUCUGCGGUUGUCACCGCGUCAACGCCCGGCGGCUGCCAGGGCACCCCUCCCCCCUCUUCGGGCAACUUCUUCCAACAGACCCCUCUAAGGGACCCCAGCGCCCCCUCGCUCGCGCCUUGCCCCCGCAGCGGGGUACAAAGAAAUCUCAGGCUCCCCCUAAACUUUGCGCUUCCAGUUGCGCAGCCGCCUCGCCUCACCCCUGCGGCUCCCGCCCUCGCAGCCUCUUGGCAGCGAGGUUUAGGCCCCUGGCAAAAGGGCUGAGGAGAGCCAGCUGAUCACAGAUGCCAACUGUGUGUCCUGGGGCCAGGGAAGUCCUCUGCUGUCCUCUCCAUGCUCUCAGGAGACCAUGUCCCCGCUCCUCAGGUUCCCCGGAGACCUGCGGACCCGGGCCGCGCCCCACGUGGUGCGCAGGGACGGGGCGCCCAGAGAAGCAGCCUCCAAAGUGCUGGAUGUCACCUCGAGUUUCCAUUUUAAGUUGUCAAGUCCCCGAACUGGGAGGCAGGCAGAGGUUUUUCUCCUAUCCAAAAGGGAGACCGUUAGCCAGGUGCUUAGCCUUAGGUGGGAAAGGAUUUUUUUUUUUUUUUAAUAAGAACCCUAACUUUUUGCGGAAGUCUCUGACAGUUCUGCACGACCCACCCCGCCCCAUAACCUUUCAUUGUCUUAGUUCUUCGGCCUCAGGGAAGCGCCCAGCGACUAAUAAAAGAUUGAACUUGCCAUAAUUUUCCAAGCAGCAAAGCUGUUUACCUGAGUUUGUCAUCUGUGGUACAGAAUAUCUAAUAGGCUGAUCUCUGUUCAGAUGUGUAUGUUUUAAAAUACUGGGAUUCCUUAUCUUGUGCAAGAGAUAUGUUGAUAUAUGAACAUACAUGAAGGUGGUGGAAUCUGCGGACACAGAGGACUGACUAUGUACAGGAUUGUGAUGCCUGUCUCCGAAGGAGGCUUCUUCCCUGGCUGGCAUUGAUGAAGCAGCCUGCCGUGUGUGAGCUGUCACAUAGAGGGAGCCAUGCAGCAGAAAACUGAGGACCUUGGUUUGGCAGCCUGAGAGAACUGAAUGCUGCCAACAGACUAGUAGGCUUUUCCAGUUGAGCCCAGUUGAAAUACCCAACCCUGGUGGAAACCCUGAUUAUAUAAAGGCGCUUCGAAACUUUUGUGGAAAUUGGCAUUAAAUAAUCAGUUUAUUCCAGUGUAAAAAAUUUUGAAAUCUAUGCACUGUUUUUUCCUAAUAUACCUUUUCCAUCAUCUUUUUUUGAACAGCCUUGGUAUGCAUGGAUUUCAGACUUCUGUACCAAAAUAAACUGAUCUUUUCAUUCCAUUUUCCAAAACCUCUUUGAAUUACCCUUGUAGUCUUGAAAAGAUCCCAGUUAGGCUGUACCAGAUUCCUUCCCUUUAGAAACUAUGAAAUAAUAGAUUGUGUAGCUUUCAGCUCCAAUCUUUGGUAAUACUCUAAUGCAGCAAUAUGUAACUAAGCUACUGUCCAAGGUUUGUAACACAGCAUACCCUGGAAAGAAAACAGCCUAUAGCAAUAUUCGGCCCUGGAAGAAAACUAGAUAGUGGAUGACUGGUGUCCUUGGCCUCCUAAGCCAAGAAAGAGGACAAUAAGAGAGCUGAAGACCCACGAUGGUAGACAUUGCAGAGUGUGAGAAACCCAGAGAAGUGGCAGACUUUUUCCAGAUGCUUGGGUUUAGACUUAGGGACCAAACUAAAUCCUCAGAAAAUGAUGGGAGAGAAGAUGACCCCAAGGAUAUCCAGGUACCAAAUAUGAGCCCUAAAAAGAAAAAUAAAAAACCUAGCUGAGAAGUCCAGCAACCAGAGCAAAGAUCAUUCAAAAUAUAUAACCUCCAAAUCUGCUGAAAUGAUUUCUAAAAAAGAACCAAUGGCCAUGAGAAUAAAUGAUAAUAAUAGAACCUAGGUGGAAUCAAGUGCAGCAAAACAUUUAAUUUCACAAUGUUACCUCUUUCAGAUAAAUUGGAGGAAGGUAUUACUGUGAUAGCAUGAAUAACUGAGAAGAUGAAUAUAAAAGAAUGAGAGAAGAAGGUCAUAUUAUCUCCUAUGAAAAGGCACAUACACAUAUGCUGGCAACAAUUUUGAGAUCUAAUUUUGCAGAUAACAGGUUUCCAUAAAUGUAAAGGAAUCAUACUAGCAUCAGACUUCUCAUCUGCAUUAUUUGAAGCUGGAAAAAUGGUGAAGUAAUAUUUCUUAGUACUUGGAGGGAAGACUGAAGCUAGCCAAACUGUUACUUAUCUGUGAAGAUAAAAAAAAAAUGACGUUUGUAAAAUUUCAAGUUUCAAAUGUAACACAAGGUAAGCUUUCUAAGGAAAAUAACGAAAGGAUAAUAACCAAAAUAAACAAACAAGACACCAAACCCAAGUUGCAUAAUUGAAGAAACUGAGAAUCAACAGUGGUGAUCAAUAAACUGACUUUUAAUAUAUAAUUAAUCUAAAUAUUUGGAAAUGAGCAAUAUGAGUUAGUAGCUCUAUACUGGAAGUGAAAUUUUGUUAACAGUUUAGAGAUGCAUGUAUUAAGUUUUCUGUAGUAAAAUCAUGAUGGUAGUAGAAGGUUGAGAGAAGGCAAAGCUUCCAUGCGAAGUGAGAACACAGUGGGUGAAAGGCCAUACUAGGUUGGGAAAAGAAAAGGAGGAAGGAAAUGUGGUUUAACCCUUGUUACACUUGAGUGCUCUGGUCAAUGUCCUGGCACUUCCUGCACAUGCUGUGAAAUGGCCAGGCUUUCCAGUUGUUUUUUAGGAGGUUGCUGUGGAAUCAUUUAUGCCCAGGAUUGCCUGCAUCAUAAUACAGAUUGUAGUGCUGUAAGUUCAGCUUACAUCAUCUACCUUACCAUUUUCUCCACUGCUGCAAAGCACUUGGAACCUUAACAAAAGCUGUUUUAUAUAACAAAUCAUUAUUGCCUGAGUGACUAGGCCUACUAAUAUUCAACAGGAUUUCUCCAAAAAUUCCAUUUUUUGCUUUGCUUCUUUGGUAAUUACCAAAAUUGCUACAGCUGGAAACACUAAAUGUAUUAUCUCCCACACUCCCAGAAGCUCCUUUCCAUCUGCAGGAAGUUCAACACUCAGCAGCCUGAAGAAAGCGUCUUCUGUUAACUGCCAGUGCUGCAGUAUCUCUCCAGGUAGCACCUCUUCCCACCAUCCUCAGCCUUCCUAUUUUGAUCUUUAUCCUGUGGGGUCCUAGGACUUUUGCCUUGUGUAUGUAUUUCUCUCUACUCUUGAAUCCAUGUGUCCACUAUGACUGCCUAGACAAAUGUGGUAACCCUUGGGGUCAGGCUCUUCUGCCUCCUUACUGCAUCUCCCACAUAUGUUCAAGUCUCCAGCUCUGGCUCAGGUAUUCAAGCCCCCUCUUGUCCAAGAAGCAAGUUCAUAAAAGUUAUAAAUAUCACUGCAUAUGUUCAACAACCAUAUCAAAGACCUGUGGACUAUGCUAUCCCUGAUGGAAAACUUUCUCAAAUGAGAUCUUCCUUGGAACCUGAAAGCAGCAUGUUUCUCAUUAGUACAAGUCUAGUGGAGCAGUAAGACUUCCCAGUUCUUUCAAUCAUCUGAAGAUUUUCAGUGAGAGUGUGUGUGUUCCAAACACAAAUCCUCCACUUCUAUUUCUAUAUACCUUCACUUCUAUUUUAUUAACAAUUUUUAAGUAGGAUAAUCUCAUUAAUGAAAUUUAGCAAAUUUUUAAAAUGUGAACAUUUGGAAAAUUAGGAAGGACCACAUCCCCAGAUGAAAUAACUGCUCUCAGAGCUAAUGGUUAGAGAUCAUGAUGUUGAAAUUGAGCCAACAGAGGUCAGCUUUGACUGUCCAGAUCUCAAGGCCUCAGACAGAGAUAAGAAAAGGAUGAUGACAGCAUAAGGAAGGAAAGAAGCAGUUGGGCCUGAGUUAUCUGAUUAAUAUCUGCCAGAGACAAGUUGGGAAUGAAAAAUUGCAUAAUGAUAAGAAAAAGAAGAGAGGAAAUUGGAGACUAGUGAAUAUGAGAUCAAUGAGGAGAUGCUGAAGCCACCACUGGGGAAGUUACUGCAGACACUGAUGGGAUGUGGAAGAUGUGAGCUUAACAGAGAUUGGAGAGGGGUUUGGGGAAAUGGGUGUUCAUCCACUAAAAAAAUGACGGAGCCAUUGCCUUAGAAAUAAGGAACUAAUGAGAAGUGCAAAGAAGCAGUUGAAGCCCAAAUUGAGAAACUGAGAAUUAGGGAACUGAGGAUAACAAGAGAUUUGUGAAAUGAAAGUUGGGAGAUUGGCAGGGGCUAAGGAAACUGCAUGGAGAUAAGCCAAAGUCCCCAAAAUGUGUUAGGGGGAGGAAGCAGGUGGAAGGAAAGACAACCAAGGUCCAUGUGGGCAUUUGAGAAUCCUUUGGAGGCUGAGCUGGGCAUUCUGAGGUUCCAGUCAGCACCUGAUGAUUGAGGUUGAAGUGUUAUCUUGGCAUCACCUACAAUAUUCUUAUAAGCAACCAGUCCUGUGCCCAGGAAGCCCAAUAUAGAACAAAAUUUCUGGGUCUGUGGGUAGUUAUGAGUAUUCAGUUGUACACAGUAGGAUUUGUGGGUAAGAGGAUAUGUUAUAACCUCAGCUUCACAAGUUCUCUUGCAUUUUAUGUAGUCAUUCUACAAGGAAGCACAGAUGUUAGGAGAGAAGGCUACUAUUAGGAAAAGAAAAACACCAUGCAUUUCAUUUGAUUAUGUGCCUUUCUAGCCAAGCAAUCAUAAAGUACCACUGAGAGAGAAUGAUAGCUCUUAAUCAUGUAGUUUUAAAUAUACUGCAUUUAGGAGUUUUUCUAUUCCUUAUCCAAGUAAGACUAAGGGAUCUAGGAAUAAUAAAUUGUCCUGGGAAUGUUAAUGGCUAGAUAUCUUAAGUCCUGUCUGACCAUUAACACAUCCUGGGAUGUGAUUCCAACAAUUGUUUCUAGUUCCAGAAGACAUUGGAAAAAAAAUUAUCAUUUCCACAGGUCCAUUAAUGGAGGUGGGUCAGUGAUUGAGCAAUUAUCUCUCAGUUCCAGCCCAUCUUCUCCAGUUGGCUUUGUGCUGUUGGGGCUGAGACUCUGCAAAUUACAUUUCUCUGUUACCACCUGGUUUGCUGUUAAAUGUGGCCAAGAGUUAAGAGUGGGCCCUGGAGGGAAGCCUAAAGACAGAGGAGAGGGAAGAAACAACUUGCUACAUCUUUUUGCUUGCUCUUUCUGUCAGUGUUAACCUAUGAAGGGCUCCUCUCCCUAUUUCAAAACUUUGUUCCAGUUUUCAGAAUCUUCUGCCAUUCUCAGAAUUAGCUUCAGUGAUGAAAAUGCUGGCACAAGCCUAGACAUGUCAGUCUCUCACAGCUCUGGGCAGAUCCCCAAAGCCCUUCCUGUAGGCUUCUAGGUUCUGAUAAUCCCAACCAUCCUCCUUUGCAGGCGGGGCAGGCAUAGCACCGGCAGCUGCUUCCUGUAGUUACUAUCUCUGUGUUGUGUCAGUGUUCCCAUUUUGCUUAGCCAGCCCUCCAGUACUUAACCAAUAUUUAACCUACAAUUGCUUAACCAAUCUCUUAUAUUAUCUCUGAUAAAAUAACGAACAUGGUUUCCAUUUUCUUGACUAAAUUCUGACUAAUUCAGAGGUGCAGGGUCUUCUGCAAUGAAUUGUACAGAAAACUUCUUACUUUUUAAAUCUCCCUCUUUGCAAAGCAUUCUAUUUCUUGCAGUUGUUAAAAAUCAGUCCACUCCUUGCCACCCACCUGUUCCAGCUCAUGUUUCACUUCUGAGAGUUGUCAUCCCUGGCCUAAUCCACCACACCCACAGAUGCAUUUCAAAAUCAUGACUGUAUACCUCCCUUGCCCUUGUGAAGCCACGUGAGAGGCAUUGUCUAGGUCUCCCUCUCAUGUUUUUCAGCCCCUUUCUAAAGCAUUAGUCCCCAUAGAAUUCUGGUGGAAACUCAAAAUGAUCACCAUGUUAAAUAGCUUAAAUUUUUGUUUUCCAUAUGAAGAAAUAUAAUAUGUACUCGUGCUACCAGGGGUCUUUUUGCAUUUGUUCCCUUAUCUGUCCUCCUUGAACAACUAAGAUUCCCUUGGAAGUGUUACUUCACUGAUAGGUCCAUUAGCCUCUAUCUUAAAGAAACCCAUCAGCAUUAGGAUUUAAUUCUUCUUCCACUGAUUUUCUGUUUCCUGUGAACUAUUGUUAAUAAACAAACCUCUUCAUCACACAUGUGGGCCUUUCCACCUAAUUGGAAAAUGUGAAAUACUUUGUGAUGGACAUUUAAAUGGUCUUUGCAAUUUUACUUGAGACUAGCUCGCUGCCAUUAGAAGAAAACUGGUGAACUGGUACCCAUAAGCUUCUUCUUGAGUUUCCCUGGGGAGUGGGGCAAGGUGGAGCUUAUCUCUUUGCUACCUUUCUCCAGAAAAUGUAUGCAUAAAGACAAUCUGCAUUUUGUUAAAGGCACAACCAUUUUUUUUCUUAUUUGUUUAUUUACUUACUCAUUUGUGGUGGCUUUUAAAAGGGCUCAAAUGGGUUAUUUUGUUGUGAAGCAGGAGAGAUCUUUUAUAGUAAAAAAUACAAAUAUGAUACCUUUUCUACCAGAAAUGCAGAGUAGUGAUCAUAUUUCUAAGUAUUGAAUCAGUUGACUUUCAAAGGGAAGACCAAAUAUUUCUCAUUAUUUUUUAAGUUAAAAGUUCUUAUGAAACAAGACAACCAAACAAGGCCAUGGAGACAUUUCUGCAAUGGCCAUGUGAAGAGAGCUUCAUGAAUUUUCUCAUUAGUUCAACAACCAUAACUGGUAAAUAUGUGUGUGCACAUGUGUAUGUAUCUCCAUUUAAAGUUUCUGAAAUUGUCCUAAUGGCAUAAAUAAAAUAGAAAAACAUGUAUUCCAGAAAACCUAAUAAGAUAUAUUCUUGAUAAGAACAGUGAGAAUUUGUGAUAUAUGAACCACUAAUCCCCCACACCCAAUUUAGUGAGAAAGAAUUUCUACUACUGGUAGUUGUUGACAAAGUCAAAAAGUUUCUUAUCAGAUUCUAGCCUAAACCUGACUUCUGUCAUAAUGGGAGGAAGAAAGAUGCUAAUACUGUCAUUUCCAGAAUCAUGUAGUAGACUCUUUCCAGGUAGAAGUGGCUGAGAGAUCUCUGGCUUCUUUUACUCAUCGGCUAUCCAUGGAGUAGGCAUUCUACUCAAACUGCAGCAAGCAAAAAAAAAAAAAAAAAAAAAACAGGGCC